rnacentral:ribozyme from 1 species
CCGAGAGUAUUCCACCCCCGGCAAAAGUCCCCCUGAUUGUGUUUCUGCACGGAGCGGGGAAGAACGAGCUAGAUGUCUGGAAUCUCG